rnacentral:misc_RNA from 1 species
UACACCACAGGUUUACUUUAAGAAA